CAUCCUUUGCUAGAACUGAGCCUUUGAAAUUAUGCCCAACUUAUUAAUACACUCUACCUACUCGGUGUAAUAACCCGUCUAUCAAUCCAAUUUAUCAGGCCCAAGCACUCAUACUAAAGUGAGUGUCUAGAUGAUUCAACUAAUUUUCCUAAUUUGUAACCUAGAGAUCUCCGAACAUAACAAUCCCAUCCCUUUCGAGAAAGACCUUGUCCUCAAGGUUGAUGUUGUGCAAUAAACUCAAGGGAUCGACUCUUGAUGUAACCCCAGUCCUUCUAAGAAGGUUCCUUUUCAUUCAGAUUAGCCCACUGAACCAACAAUUUCACUCCCACACCAUUAGUGAUUUUGACCAUUUUGCGCCGAAGAAUGGCUACAAGUUAAAUCAAAACUCGACCAUCUGCAUCACAGGGGGGAGGUUGUCGCUCCAGAACUAUGGUUGGGCCAACUCAGGGUUUCAGUCUUGAGACAUGAAAAACAGGACGAAGUUGCGACCCAGGUGGAAGCUCCAAUCAGUAAGCUGCUGACCCGAUUUUCUAUUCAAUCUUAUAAGGUGCUGCCUCAGGUUUAAGUGGAAUGUGAUGGUCAUGAUUCCUCCUUGGUGGCAAGCAUUUUGGCUCAACAAACACUCCCCAAAACUCAUUAAUUACAUCCUGGAUCAUAUCAGCCAAGAUCUGGGAUCUCAAUCCUCAAAAUAAGGGCAAUCGAUAUUAGAGGUAGAGUUGUUCAAUGGAAUCUGCCAGUUGAAGUUUCAUGGGUCUCCAUCAUCCUUCCUACCAGACCCUUCAAUCGUGUGAGAACUUGUUGGAGUACUCCCUAAGAUUACAUCCGUGCUCGCGAAGAAUUUAUCCAUCAUCAAAUCAAAUUUAUGAUUUAAUUCAUACAUUUUAGAGUCAUUCGACUCCAAUUUUUUGUUGGUCUCUGCCAUGUAAUUGCGCAAUUGACUUUUCAAUUUUUUGACACUAUCCUCUGUAACUUUUGCUCAAGUUUUUGGUACUGUCAUGGUGCCAGGAAGAUGCUCUGAUACCAACUUGUAAUAGACUAAAAUUUAUUGAAAGAACUAAAGAAAAAUAAGAAGAUAAAAAUGGAGAAACAAGCUUUUAUUA